CGGUUGAUUCGAUAUCCAUAUGUUUCUAUUCAUCUCUAACUGUUAUUCAAUUGAAUUUUUAGUAUAUUAUCAAGUGAUUUAUCAUUAUGAAUAAAAGUGUUAUGAAAAUUAAAAAAUGUUUUGACACCAUUGACACAUAAAUCCAAGGGAUGAAAGAAAAAGAUUGAAAUAAACUUCAAAGUAAUAUCUUUAGCCUUUUGAAUGACAAAUUACUGGUUCCAACCCGCUGACCUUUCUUUUCACUUUGGAUGACUUUUUGCUUCGCUCGUGACCAAUUAUGAUUACUAUUAUUAUUGUCUCACUUUAUGUGCUUAUGCUCAGCACACACACACACACAACUUGAUGUGCUGUUAUCUUUAUGGUAGAAACAACAACUCAACUCACUGUUCACCCUGUGUUCACCACCCUCUGUGAAAACGACUUGUAACUGCAUGUCAAAGUUUCUUUUUUUUCUCUCUUCAGCUUCUUCUUUUUUCUGUUGUGUGUGUCUUAUGUUUCUUUUGCUUCUUCAUUCCCUAACCUGUUAUUACAACCUACCACCACAACCUCCUCCGCCUUUUUCUUCAUCUUCUUUAUCAUCAGCAUCAUCCUUUGCUCCUAGAAAUGUACCAAAUAAUACUCUUCUUUUGAAUGUACUUUUCAAGAAACAGAUUCCAAUACCAAUCAUUAUUACGAUUGGAGUAACUUUGAAUUGGAUAAGUCGACAGAUUCAAUGCAACACAAUCACUAUUCAUUCACUUCUUACAAUUAUCAUUAUUAUUAACAUCAUCAUCAUCCUAUUACAUCUUGUAUUCAUUGUUAAACCAUUUUUAACUUCACUUCAACAUCACCUUUUCACGCUAUAUUUCAAGUUUUGCUGUUCACUUCAAAAUUUAUCAACUAACAGUAAUUGUUUCCACUGGUCCAUUGGCUUAAUCCUAAUUAUCAUCUUUCAAUCAUCUGGAUUCAGCCAUCUUCAUCUCUUACCUUCGCUACUUGUAUCAUCCUUCAUUUGUAUCCUCUUGUUUCAUUUCAAAUCUUCAAUAGUCAAAUAUUUAAGCAGAUUAAUACUAUUGCUAACAAUGUUUGAAACAAAAAAUACAUUGAACAGUAAAUACCAAAGCUGAUGGAUAAAGAAUUGAAACACAAAUCAAAAUAAUGCUUAAAUGGUAAUCCAAUUGAGUUAUCACAAUAGGAUAAAAAAAUUUUGUUCAAAAGUUUGCCUGAUGAAAGAUUCAACAAGAAACCGAGACAAACUCAAUAAAAAGAUUAUUAUAUUUGUAAA